GACGAACGCUGGCGGCGUGCUUAACACAUGCAAGUCGAGCGGUAAGGCCCUUUCGGGGGUACACGAGCGGCGAACGGGUGAGUAACACGUGGGUGACCUGCCCUCAGCUCUGGGAUAAGCCUGGGAAACUGGGUCUAAUACUGGAUAUGACUCCACGGUGCAUGUCGUGGGGUGGAAAGCCUUGUGCGGCUGAGGAUGGGCCCGCGGCCUAUCAGCUUGUUGGGGGGUGAUGGCCUACCAAGGCGACGACGGGUAGCCGGCCUGAGAGGGCGACCGGCCACACUGGGACCGAGACACGGCCCAGACUCCUACGGGAGGCAGCAGUGGGGAAUCUUGCGCAAUGGGCGAAAGCCUGACGCAGCGACGCCGCGUGAGGGAUGACGGCCUGGUGU
rnacentral:rRNA from 1 species